CAGCGUCGAGCCCGCUGCACUGUCGGAGAGUGGAACCCACCUUCUCCGGACUCCCUCAGUCCACAUACAUGGGAGAGAUGGGGGAGGCAGGGAACUGAUCCAGGAUGCGGCAGACCAUUAGGGUCACGGCUGGAGUCUAUCCCAGCAGACGUCGGGCGAAAAGCUGGGGGUGUUAAAGUGCUCUAAACCAGAGGUCCAAGUGCCAUUCCAUCUUUUGGUUAUCCACAAAGUUCUACUUGUAUGGAUUCUCAAGUCAUCAUUCCAAGCAAAGUUUGGUCACGGGGGGCGCUGGCGCCUAUCUCAGCUACAAUCGAGUGGAAGGCGGGGUAAACCACUCACAUCGAAAUCAACCUGUGACGCUGAAGAGAGCAGAGCUGGGAAAUCCAAACCUGGUCAGAAGAUGAGAUAAAACAUCCUUGCCACCAAUGAAUGCUUUCAAACCCAUUCGAUGUUCAUCUUUUAAAUAAAUAAUAUUCGAUUGAUGUCGCAAAACAGUUGCAAUAGCAGAAUCAAUGUUAGCUCUUGACUCCUCGAUGCGUGCCGCCAUUGUUGUUUGACUCAAACAGUUGCUUCGGCACUCCGUUAGUUCUAUGAGAUCCUGCCCGGCGAUCCUGAUUGAUUCAUUAUUUUUUGCUAUCUUGAAGGAGUUUGCAUUGCCGCUGAGUCCAGAUCCUUGAGUUGAGCUCAGCGAACUACAAGGGUCUGGCGAGAGUCAGGUUAAUAAGUUUCUGCUGUUAAAAUGAAUAAUUUACAGGUUGUUGUCAGAUGUAUUAUACAUAGUAUUAUAUUGUUUAUCUGUGUAAUAAAAACAUU